rnacentral:rRNA from 1 species
UACGUAGGGGCCUAGCGUUGUCCGGAUUUAUUGGGCGUAAAGAGCUCGUAGGCGGCUUGGUAAGUCAGGUGUGAAAUCUCCACGCUCAACGUGGAGGGGCCACCCGAAACUGCCAUGGCUUGAGUCCGGUAGGGGAGUGUGGAAUUCCCGGUGUAGCGGUGAAAUGCGCGGAUAUCGGGAGGAACACCCGUAGCGAAGGCGGCACUCUGGGCCGGUACUGACGCUGAGGAGCGAAAGCGUGGGGAGCAAACAGG